GACGAAGGGGGCUAGCGUUGUUCGGAAUUACUGGGCGUAAAGCGCGUGUAGGCGGUUGCCCAAGUCGGGUGUGAAAGCCUUGAGCUCAACUCAAGAAAUGCACUCGGUACUGGGUGACUAGAGGACCGGAGAGGAUAGUGGAAUUCCCAGUGUAGUGGUGAAAUACGUAGAGAUUGGGAAGAACACCAGUGGCGAAGGCGGCUAUCUGGACGGUAACUGACGCUGAGACGCGAAAGCGUGGGGAGCAAACAGG
rnacentral:rRNA from 1 species